rnacentral:lncRNA from 1 species
UUCUUUACUUACUCUUGUUUCCUUUAGAUAAUCGCCGGGUAUCUCAGAAGGUAUCUUUCUUACUCCUUCUCUUUUGUUUAUGCAACCUUUCAAUCAUGGGCAACAAGAUCGCUCGUUCUCGCAUUAGUAUCACUGCCCCUUCCGAUAACAACUUCAUCGAUCAAAAGAUCAUGGUCUAUGAUGAGACUUGCUCCUUUAAUGAUGAGGAUAUCAGGUUGCUAAAAUCUAAUAGGGAUUUUCCCAUGGAUACAAUCUUUACGACCUAUGAUGCUUUGACUCAGUUGGACUUUGUUUCACUGUCCUGGGUAUGUUUCCCUAAAUACCCAUUUUCUUUGGGUUUGAAAUAACCUUUCUCCGGUAUCAUCUCUGAGUUUUUUGAAAUCACUAAAUGUCAUACAUCCAAGCUAUGCCUGUUAUUUAUAGAAACUUGUCUCGGAUCCAUCUAUUGAAUCAAUCUAAUGAUCUAGGCAUAUGCUUAGCUGAGCUAUAUCAUGUUUAUGAUCUUUCAACCUUUGGGAACUCCUACUUUUUUCUCAAGGUCAAACCCAAUAAAUCUCCUCUUAUUUUGAAAUCAUAACAUAAUGACGAAGCUUGGAAAGAGAAGUAUUUUUUUGUGAGGCAUGAAUCUAUUCAUAGUGAGGAUCUCCUGCCAAAAACAUGGGUUAAAAGGGUAGGAUUUACCUGUUACUUCUAAGGAUCCUGAUAUUCACUUUCUUAUUUUGUUUAUUGUGAUGCAACAUUCAAGUGUGAGGAAGUUGCUCCCAUUGUUGAGGAUACCGCUGAAAAAGUUAAAAAAUUUCUCACUCUCUAUGUGGUUGAUAGAUCUUUCAAGCUUGAACACUCCAGUGUCCAAAAAGGCUCUUCCACCACUGCUUCAAUGGCUAUCAUUAAUGAUCCUUCUUUUUCUUAUUAUUUUUUUUAUUUUUUGGAUCCAAAACUAAUGAGUAUCCUUUGCAACACAUAAGAUCCAAUGUUACUUGCUCGUCCUCAAUUUGUCCUCUCUGAUCUGGAAGAUAACAUGUCCAACAGUCUGAUCGUGGUUAAGAAGGAAAAGGUUGCCCCUCUCUUCCUCCGAAGAGGGCUCAAAUUGAUCUCACUAUAAAGACCCUAGGUUCCUGGAAGAAGAAGACUGUUAAGGCCACAGAUUUGAGCCUAGAAAAUCUCAGAGCUGAUGAGGCACUCAAGAAGCUAGUAUCUUUCUCUCAGGCUGUAAGUAUUUCUUGAAUUAUGGUCUUUGAUUUUUAUUUUCUGCUCUCGCUUUCACUAAUGUUGUUCUCGUUUCAGGACUUCAACCACAUUCCCAGUCCACUGCUGAUCUAAAGGUCAAGGCUGAGAAGGACGAGCUAGCCUUAAAUGAGCAAGAAGGGGUGUAGAAGGUCACCACUGAGGAUCUCCUAAUGAGGGUGGAGCUGUUGAGGCAAUAAAAGGUUCAGAAAGAGGAGGGGCAUGCUGUAAAGAUUGCAGAGGUGAUUGUUGAGGUGAAGGGUAACGUUGUUGUGGCCAUCUGGAAAGCGAAGAUCAAACUUGAAGAGGAUGUGGCUAAUGCGGGAUCCUAGAAUGUGGUUGGUUGGUGUGAACCCCUAGCCAAAUUGAUUAGUGGGCCUGUUAGUACCAAUCAGGAUCCUGCAGGGCAGUCGAAGGUGGGAUGAGAGGAGAAAAAGGCAGAGAAGGUUCCAGGUGAUGGCAAUCAGACCGUAGAUUAGGUUUGAUUUAAAAAACAAUUCGAAUGCUUUUUGGGUUGUAAGAAAACUUUUUACUCUUCUUUUAUGGUGUUGGUGGGCAACCC